CUGCAACUGACUCUCAAAUGGUUUGUCCAGAAAAUGUAUAAACAUACACACAUGGAAAGGAAAUGUGGCAAAGUAUUAGCUACUGUUGAUUCCAGAUGAAAGUUAUACAGGUGUUCAUUAUACCAUUUGAAAAUGCUUCCUAGCCAUCCUAAGCCUUAAAGGAAAAAAAGAAAAUGUUUAAAAUCAAAAGCUGGAGGCAGGAAGAGAAUAACAAAACCUUUGGGCUCAUGCCUGUAAUCCCAGCACUUUGGGAGGCCAAGGAGAGGGGGUUGCUUGAGCUCAGGAGUUUGAGACCAGCCUGGGCAACGUGGUGAAACCCCAUCUCUACAAAAAAUACAAAAAUGAGCCAGGUGUGGUGGCACGCACCUGUAGUUCUAGCUACUCAGGAGGCUGAGGCGGGAGGAUCACUUGAGCCCAGGAGACAAAGGCUGCAGUGAGCCGAGAUUGCACCACUGCACUCAACCUGUGUAACAGAGCGAGACUCAGCCUCAAAACAAAAGAAACAUCUUUGUGUCAGAGUUAAGGUUGCUAUAUAAGUAAAAUGCUAGGUUAUGGUUCUGGGUACAUUCAAUCUAUAUGAAGAUCAGAGGCUUCUAUUGGACCCAAAGGAAUACGAGUCACUUGUGAUUAUUCCUCUAUAGGUUUGAAAGAUGUAUCAGGCCAACUUACUGGAUACAGUUUUAAUUUAAAACUCUAUACAUCAUACCCCCAACUCACAGACUUCAUGUAUCCAUUGAAUACUCUUCUGUUUCCACAGUCUUAAUGUGGCCCUAACAAAGUCAUCCUUUUAGAGGACUCAAAAGAGGCCCCCCCUACAACUUCUAUAAUGUAAUAUUUACAGUAGUUAACAUUUAUUGAUCACUCAGUGUGUGCCAGACAUUUUUCAGGUAGGGAUUCAUUUAAUCCUCAAAACUCAUUUGAGGUAGGUACUAUUAUAAUGACAAGGCCAAGGAACAGAGAUUAAGCAAUUUGCCCAAAUUUACAUUAUUCACAGAGCUGGGAUUUAAGCCUAGUCUGGCUGUGGAAUCUGUAUUCUUAAUGACCAUGCUAUACUGCUUAAGAUUAACCUUGAGAAUUUAUUCCAGUUACAGAGAUUGUUUUUAUUUCUCUGAAACUGCCCCCAAGAAGCCAUAACAAUAAAUUAAUCAAUUAUCUUGGUUAUCUCUUUUGCCCAAAUUUAUAUUUUGAAAAAAAUUCAAACAUGCCAGAAAGAUGAAAGAAUACUACAGAAUCCAGUCAAAGAUCAGGCACUGCAUGUCAUGUCUUCAUUUCCUUUAAUCUAAAACAUGCCUCUACUUUUUUUGAUCUUUCAUGACAUUGGCAUUUUUUGAGUCAAAGAUAGUUGUCUUGUAAGUUGUCCCACAAUCUGGAUUUCUCUGUUUCCACAUGAGAUUCAAGGUAAGCAUCUUUGGGAAGAAUACUGCAUAGGUGACGUAUCUUUCCUGCCUCGUGACCCCAGGUGGCUCAUAAUGCUAAGUUUGAUCACUUGUUUAAGGUGAUCUUCCAGAUCUCUCCACUGUGGUUAUUUUGCUGGGUGUGGUGGCUCACACUUGUAAUCCCAGCACUUUGGAAGGCCGAGAUGGGCAAAUCACUUGAGUCCAGUUUUAGACCAGCCUGAACAACAAGGUGAAACCCUGUCUCUACUAAAAAUAACAAAAAUAAAAAACUAAAAUUAGCUGGGGUGGUGGUGCAAGCCUAUAGUCCCAUCUAUCUGGGGGGCUGAAUUUGGAGGGUCACUUGAGCCCAGGGGGUCGAGGCUGCAGUUAGCUAUGAUUUUGCCACUGUACUUCAGCCUAGGUGACAGACUGAGACCUUGUCUCAUAAAAAAAUAAAAAAUAACUUUUCCCUUUGAUAAUUAAUAAAAAAUCUGUGGGGUGGUACUUUGAGAUCAGUGAAGAUCCUGUUCUCAAAUGUCUUUUCACCCAACUCCAUCAGUGAUAAUCUUUGUCUGAAUCUAUUUUUAUUACAUUGGUGGUUGCAAAGUGACACUUUUUAAAAUUCUGUCAUUCCUUCUACAUUUAUU
rnacentral:lncRNA from 1 species